rnacentral:rRNA from 1 species
UACAGAGGUCUCAAGCGUUGUUCGGAUCAUUGGGCGUAAAGGGUGCGUAGGUGGCGCGCUAAGUCAGGUGUGAAAUUUCGGAGCUUAACUCCGAAACUGCAUUUGAUACUGGCGUGCUUGAGGACUGGAGAGGAGACUGGAAUUCACGGUGUAGCAGUGAAAUGCGUAGAUAUCGUGAGGAAGACCAGUGGCGAAGGCGGGUCUCUGGACAGUUCCUGACACUGAGGCAGCGAAGGCCAGGGGAGCAAACGGG